rnacentral:rRNA from 1 species
CUACGGGUGGCUCCAGUGGGGAAUAUUGGACAAUGGGGGAAACCCUGAUCCAGCAAUGCCGCGUGUGUGAAGAAGGCCUGCGGGUUGUAAAGCACUUUCGGUUGGGAGGACUGCUUCUAGCACUAAUAUUGUUGGAAGUUGACGUUACCUUCGGAAGAAGCACCGGCUAACUCCGUGCCAGCAGCCGCGGUAAUACGGGGGGUGCAAGCGUUAAUCGGAAUUACUGGGCGUAAAGCGCGCGUAGGCGGCUAGAUCAGUCGGGUGUGAAAGCCCCGGGCUUAACCUGGGAACUGCAUCCGAUACUGUCUAGCUUGAGUACAGGAGAGGAGAGUGGAAUUCCACAUGUAGCGGUGAAAUGCGUAGAUAUGUGGAGGAACACCAAUGGCGAAGGCAGCUCUCUGGCCUGAUACUGACGCUGAGGUGCGAAAGCGUGGGGAGCAAACAGGAUUAGAUACCCGCGUAGUC